UGCUCCCCCGGCUGAACUGUAUCUGCAUUUUAACGGUGGGAAGAAGAGACGCUAUAUGGCGACGUGCUCCUCCCUCCACCCUGCCAAGCUCAUCUGUCAGCCAUUAGUUAAUCAGGGCUGGUAAUGCAGAGUGCACAGAGAGCUGGCACCGCUCGUGGGACCAGAGGACAGCUUCACCUCUGAGAGCAAAGAGAGGGCAAGGACUCAGGGACUUCUGCGGCACUGAGCUACAGCUGGGCGACUUCACUCAGCAGCACCCACUCAGGCCAGGCCAUGAGGAGCUUCACCAUGAUCCCGCCCACUGCUUCGUCAUGAACAGGCCAAAAGGAAACAUUAUCUCCUGACUUAGAUUAAAGCCUUGACAAGAACCAUGCUCGAGACGACCAGCGGGGUAAGGGACCUUUCAACGAUCGCUUCAAUUGCUCACACCCAACUCAACUGGCAUAUGGGCAGCAUCAGGAAACACAAGCCCAAUGAUAUCACGACCAAAUGACCCCAGGGUGACAGGUUUGGAGAAUGUUCUAGCCUGGUGCCCUCAGGCCAAAGUCAAGUAUGUCAAUGUUGUGCAUGUGGGUUUCAUUUGAAGCAACAUGAUUAGUUCACAGAUGCUCGACCGAGGUCCCCCUCCAUGGGAAACCCACCCUGGACAGGAAACGGUAUGUUUUUCUUAGCAACAAACAGGCAUAAAUUACUGAAAUAGUGCCUCGGUUGCCAAUUUAUCACACACAGCCUUAUUGUUGCUGUUUGUUCACAUUUGACAUCAACAUUGCUUUUAAGGAAAUCAUCAUUAGUUAAUGAUAUUUACAUUCCUGAUAGCUUGUGUUGAGCUUUGUGUCUGCAAUGCUGAAUUUGUGCAAUAAACUACAGAAUUGUUUUGUGUCAUCUCUUUUUCUUAAAAUGAUAAAUGUGGUUUGAUAAGCUCUGUUUGGCUUUUUCAACUCUUCAGUUUGAGGUUAUGAAAAUGUCACUGCAGGACUAGAAAUGAUUAAAGAUCGAAGAAGAAAAGCAGCGUCAGGUUAAAUCAGGAAAACACUUCUGAACAUUUGAAAGAUAUCUUUCAUAUACAAGUGUUUUUUUGAAAGUAACAACCAGCAUUAAUGACUAGCCUUUGUGGAUUUUUUUGAAUAUUGUUAAAACAUUAGUAACACAUCUGUUUAUAAAGGCAUUUCUAUUAUUUUUAAAGCUCAUGUGAUGCAUUUUUACCUGCUUAGGAAACAGACUGACAUUGGUAUUGAUGCUUCUGCACAACUUAGCAAAAGAGGCCACCAGCUACAAGAUUAUGUCAACACUGUUGUUUCAAUGCCUGAAACUGCUGCCAGGGGGUAGGUGUCAAAGGAAGCGAUGAACAACCGUGCUGUACAAGAGAGACUCUUAAUGACCCAUAUAUUUAACAGUUAAAAGAAAGAAGUUUCGGUAUGUACAAGACAAGUGACUCAGGAGACAAGAGGUACUGUUUUGUCCAUAGGGGGCGCCAAAAUGACCACAUAUAUAGUUCCACUCUGGAGCUUUGAAAAAAUUCAGCUUGAUUUGAAGGAAUGUGCUCUAACACAGACUGACACAAACAAAUUAAAGAAGUGAUAAUAUGAUCUGCUAAAAUAUCUCAAAAUAACUGCAUUUGUGGGGUGACAUUUGUUGAUUUGAGAUAGAAAUAUUUUAGACAUAAAGAACGUACACUGAUGUCAUUCACAGGCUACCUGCUUCAAACUGAUGUUAUAAGGGCUGCUGAAAGUUUUAACUUUAGAUAUUCAGUGUAGGAGUUCUACCAACAAACGAGGCUAAUACAUGAGGUAAGAUUAUCUCUUAAGUAAUGAGAAAUAUUUUGAAAAUAUCACAUACUUUUCAACUCUUCUGGUCUAUAAGAGCUUAAAGCGCCUUGAUAAAUGUCAGUGCACAAGAACAGUGUUUGUAUUGGUUUUGCUAUGGAUUUCAUAAAAUGGCACUGGGGCUUUUAGUAUAUGAAAACAGUUGUAGUUGUGAGGACAGUUUCAUAGCUAAGUGGUCUAUGCUAAUAGAUUAUGAUCUGUGGUUUAUGUUACUUGUGUGCUGCACUCCUGUUUAUAUAGAGAUUUAUUACUGUAUACAUAACACCUCAUGGCAGUUAGAGGUUCCUUGUUGAAUGCUCCAAUAAUACGGUCCAUUUUGAGUUAAAUGUUUACAUUUGUAACUUCAUUAUUUGAAAAUACUGCCUCAUAUUACUGCAUUACCAACUAUUUAUAUGAUUUCCUUCAAAGAAGGAAAGCAAGAUGAUAUGACACAUGAUAAAAGCCAGAAGUUUUUGGUCAAAUGUGACCUUCCAGGGUCGGCUUUUGGAUCCCCUCAACCAAACAGCCCUUGCCAGCAUGAAUUAAUACCAAUUAUUGUUGUAGUAAAAGUCUGGCUGUCUCCUGCCAAACACUUUACAAUGAGCUCUAUUAAUGCAAUGGUAAACAGAUGUGCCACCCAGAGCUUCAGUUUGAUUUGGACCAUGAAUGUUUUCUUCAGGGAGAUUACAAAAUAAAAACCUUAAAACAGCCUGCAGUGUUUUUACUUUUACACUACACUGAAGUGUGAGGGUAUUACAGCUAUAGUGUAACUCUAAGCAUGCCCCUAAAUAGUGAACUAGUAUAAAGAUGCCUGAAAAAGGCAGUUUAACAGAGUCAAUUGAGGGUUAAAUACCUAAAUACUCCAUAAUGACUUAAAAGGUGGGUCUCUUCUAUGAGCUACAUACUGCAUGAUAAACUGCAUAUGAGGCAUCUGUGCAUGAACAAAUACCUUCUGUAUCAACAAAACUGCUCUCUUGCUACCUAAAUAAACCAU